GUCCACGCCCUAAACGAUGAAUACUCGAUGUCGGCUCGCAAGGGUCGGUGUCUAAGCUAACGCAUUAAGUAUUCCACCUGGGGAGUACGAUCGCAAGGUUGAAACUCAAAGGAAUUGACGGGGCCCGCACAAGCAGUGGAGCAUGUGGUUUAAUUCGAUGCAACGCGAAGAACCUUACCUGGGUUUGAAAGGCUCUGUAAACCGGUGAAAGCCGGCUAGUGUAGCAAUACACACGGAGUACAGGUGCUGCAUGGCUGUCGU
rnacentral:rRNA from 1 species